rnacentral:rRNA from 1 species
AGUGAACGAGGGGGGGAGGAAGAACAAAGGCAAGUCGAACGGCAGCACAGUAAGAGCUUGCUCUUACGGGUGGCGAGUGGCGGACGGGUGAGGAAUACAUCGGAAUCUACUUUUUCGUGGGGGAUAACGUAGGGAAACUUACGCUAAUACCGCAUACGACCUACGGGUGAAAGCAGGGGAUCUUCGGACCUUGCGCGAUUGAAUGAGCCGAUGUCGGAUUAGCUAGUUGGCGGGGUAAAGGCCCACCAAGGCGACGAUCCGUAGCUGGUCUGAGAGGAUGAUCAGCCACACUGGAACUGAGACACGGUCCAGACUCCUACGGGAGGCAGCAGUGGGGAAUAUUGGACAAUGGGCGCAAGCCUGAUCCAGCCAUACCGCGUGGGUGAAGAAGGCCUUCGGGUUGUAAAGCCCUUUUGUUGGGAAAGAAAAGCAGCAGGUUAAUACCCCGCUGUUCUGACGGUACCCAAAGAAUAAGCACCGGCUAACUUCGUG